UACGUAGGAUGCUAGCGUUGUCCGGAUUUACUGGGCGUAAAGCGCGCGCAGGCGGCACUGUAAGGAAGGUGUGAAAUCUCCCUGCUCAACGGGGAGGGUGCACUUUAGACUGCAGAGCUAGAGGACGGUAGAGGGGGGUGGAAUUGCUGGUGUAGCGGUGAAAUGCGUAGAGAUCAGCAGGAACACCCGUGGCGAAGGCGGCCCCCUGGGCCGAACCUGACGCUGAGGCGCGAAGGCUAGGGGAGCGAACGGG
rnacentral:rRNA from 1 species